rnacentral:rRNA from 1 species
ACGAACGCUGGCGGCGUGCUUAACACAUGCAAGUCGAACGGAAAGGCCCUGCUUUUGUGGGGUGCUCGAGUGGCGAACGGGUGAGUAACACGUGAGUAACCUGCCCUUGACUUUGGGGUAACUUCAGGAAACUGGGGCUAAUACCGGAUAGGAGCUCCUGCUGCCUGGUGGGGGUUGGAAAGUUUCGGCGGUUGGGGAUGGACUCGCGGCUUAUCAGCUUGUUGGUGGGGUAGUGGCUUACCAAGGCUUUGACGGGUAGCCGGCCUGAGAGGGUGACCGGCCACAUUGGGACUGAGAUACGGCCCAGACUCCUACGGGAGGCAGCAGUGGGGAAUAUUGCACAAUGGGCGGAAGCCUGAUGCAGCAACGCCGCGUGCGGGAUGACGGCCUUCGGGUGGUAAACCGCUUUCGCCUGUGACGAAGCGUGAGUGACGGUAAUGGGGAAAGAAGCACCGGCUAACUACGU